AUUGAACGCUGGCGGCAUGCCUAAUACAUGCAAGUCGAACGAUCUCUUCGGAGAUAGUGGCGCACGGGUGCGUAACGCGUGGGAAUCUACCCUUGGGUUCGGAAUAACUUCGGGAAACUGGAGCUAAUACCGGAUGAUGACGUAAGUCCAAAGAUUUCUCGCCCAGGGAUGAGCCCGCGUAGGAUUAGCUAGUUGGUGAGGUAAAGGCUCACCAAGGCGACGAUCCUUAGCUGGUCUGAGAGGAUGAUCAGCCACACUGGGACUGAGACACGGCCCAGACUCCUACGGGAGGCAGCAGUAGGGAAUAUUGGACAAUGGGGGCAACCCUGAUCCAGCAAUGCCGCGUGAGUGAUGAAGGCCUUAGGGUUGUAAAGCUCUUUUACCCGGGAUGAUAAUGACAGUACCGGGAGAAUAAGCCCCGGCUAACUCCGUGCCAGCAGCCGCAGUAAGAC
rnacentral:rRNA from 1 species